rnacentral:piRNA from 1 species
GACCGAAUGUGGGAGAUAGGUGUG